CACGUAGGCACCAAGCGUUGUCCGGAUUUAUUGGGCGUAAAGAGCUCGUAGGCGGUUCGGUAAGUCGGGUGUGAAAACUUUGGGCUCAACCCAAAGCCUGCACUCGAUACUGCUGUGACUUGAGUCCGGUAGGGGAGUGGGGAAUUCCCGGUGUAGCGGUGAAAUGCGCAGAUAUCGGGAAGAACACCGGUGGCGAAGGCGGCUCUCUGGACCUAUCCUGACGCUCAGGCGCGAAAGCUAGGGGAGCGAACAGG
rnacentral:rRNA from 1 species